UUCCUCUUUACUCACAAAUAAGAAUAAAUGCUGGAAAAAGUAAUACUCUGACAGAAAAGGAGGUAGAAAAUGCCAAUGUAGCAAUUUACAAUUUUAAUUCAUCGGCUCUACUGUCUAGUUCACGUUUUUAUACCAGAGUUUCACAUACUACUAACCAGUAAAUUGAGGCUCAAUCUAAAGGAUAUUCCCCCUCACUGUAGUAAAGCAAUGUACACGAGACAGCAUUAAAGUUUCCUCAAAUUUAAUGUUUUAAAGAAGUACAACUAUCAUUAUUAAUACUGCUAUAGUUAUACAUAUGUUAAAGUUCCUAGGCUAUAUAUGACUAUCAAGUAAUAUCAGUAAGCAUUCCUAUCAUAAUAUUCAAGCAAAUGAAGUAACGUUGCCUUUUUGAGGGAAAACAUAUUUUGAAACGUUUACAAGCAGACAUAAAGACAGCUGACAUUCCAACAAGGCACACAUAAUUUAUGAAAAUCUAUUAUGUUCCCAAUUGUACAAACUCAAAGCUAAUCUAAUUCUGAUAUUUAAAAUGUGCCUCUCCCCUCUGGCUCAAAAUGAAAUAACAAACCCUUCCAAUGACUAGACAUUUAAAACCUACUCAAUUUAAUUGCUAACAAUUCAGAGGAGAGGUGCACUGUCCCUCCCAAAAAUUUUAAGAACUUAAUGUUUACCAUGAUCUUAGAUCUUGCAAACAUAAACAACUAAAGAAUUUAGGUGUUUCUUGAUUUAUAUGGAGUCAAAAUUCUAUUCCACUGAGGAGAAAACAAAAAGGGGAGUUGUUUAACGGGUAUGGAGUUUCAGUUUUGCAAGAUGAAAAAGUUCUGGAGAUCUGUUUCACAACAAUGUAAAUGUACUUAACAUGGCUGAACUGUAUUCUUUAGAAACAGUUAAUAUGGUAAAUUUUAUGUUAUGAGUUUUUCAUCACAAAAAAUACAAAAAACUAUUCAAAAAUUCAAUUUUUUACACAAAUUAUUACUAUAAAACAUGGUAGACAUUCUGAUAGGAUAAGUGCUUUUCCUUUUGAAUUAAAAAAAAGCAACCUGUAUUAAAGCCUAUAAUUUGAUGACAUCUAUAUGAUCCUCUUUUUUUCUCUACACUCAAAUGCUGACUUUCCUUUCCUAUCUGCUGUAACCCACUGUCCUGAUCCUACUCUACCCCAUCUCUAAUUCUCUUAGUUCAUGAAUUUAACUAAUUUCCAGUCCAAAAAGGGUCCAGAAUUCAGAACAGACAAACAGCAAUUGGGCAACACAUAGACAGUAUGUUUCUACUAUGUAAAAAUGACCCAGCAAGCUUUGAUAUUUGAACCAGACACAUCUUAAGCAGCAUGCAUUUCAAUAUGCUAAAAGGCUCUUACGGGCUAACACCAUAAAAAUAUAAAUUUAAGAAAUGUAUUUCCAACAUUAAUUAUCAAUUAAUUUUAUGCUUCCAUAGCUAGCUGGUCAAUUUGCAAUGUUUAAAGUUACAAAUAUCUUAUGCAUAAUUUGACCAACUAAACAUUUGUCUAAUAUAUUCCUACACUAAUACAAAAUUAUCUUUUCUUGAAAACCUUCUUGCUUCCAACAAAAUUAAAUAUGUAUAUAGUAUAAGCAGUAAGAAUGUUAAAUUACGUGAACAGAUACCAUUAGAAUAGCACCAUCUGGUAUGUUGUAAUUGUCUGUUUUGAGUAACAACACUAACAAUCUUAGAAGAAUAAAGGAGAAAAUGGUAGGUUGAGGGGUACAGAGAGGAAAUCCAAACACUACUCAAUGACAACUCUUCUGAAACAUUAGGAAAUGUUAUCAGGACCUUUGGAUCUCUUCCUUUUAACUACAGAUUCCUUAAAAUACACAACUGCUGCACAAUAAAUUCUGAGU
ensembl:lncRNA